GGGGGAUUAGCUCAGCUGGGAGAGCAUCUGCCUUACAAGCAGAGGGUCGGCGGUUCGAGCCCGUCAUCCCCCACCA
rnacentral:tRNA from 2 species